AAAGAGAUAUACUUUUGUCUAGCAGAACUGUUCCCAAAGUGAGUGACAAGUUAUGCUAGGAAAUUGCAAGGAAUCCAUGUAUGAUGCCCGAUGGUAGUGGAAGAAAUUAAUAAUGGUAAGGCAUGAGCAAACUACAUACAUGCAGUUUGUCACUCACGCGACAACCUAUGGUUUCAGGUGACGGAGUUCGACAGGCCGGAUCAAGGUAUUGCUCGAGGAUGUACCGGAUACACAUGAGAAAUCAGACUUGUAAUUGUGAGAUAUUUG
rnacentral:lncRNA from 1 species